GACGAACGCUGGCGGCGUGCCUAACACAUGCAAGUCGAACGAAGCACCUUGCCUGAUUCUUCGGAUGAAGGUCUGGUGACUUACUGGCGGACGAGUGAGUAACGCGUGGGUAACCUGCCCUGUACAGGGGGAUAACCGUUGGAAACGGCUGCUAAUACCGCAUAAGCGCACGACCGGACAUUCUUUUGCGGUAAAAACUCCGGUGGUAAAGGUUGGGCCCGCGUCUGGUUAGCUAGUUGGCAGGGUAACGGCCUACCAAGGCGACGAUCAGGAGCCGGUCUGAGAGGAAGAACGGCCACAUUGGAACUGAGACACGGUCCAAACUGCUACGGGAGACAGCAGUGGGGAAUAUUGCACAAUGGGGGAAACCCUGACGCAGCAACGCCGCGUGAGUGAAGAAGUAUUUCGGUAUGUAAAGCUCUAUCAGCAGGGAAGAUAAUGACGGUACCUGACUAAGAAGCUCCGGCUAAAUACGUGCCAGCAGCCGCCGUAA
rnacentral:rRNA from 1 species